AUGCAAGUGGUCAAGUUGUGUAAGACGCCGGAAGGUUAAUACCUGACAUGUGAACGCUUAAGCGUCAAGACGGAGGACGUCGGAAUCGUGGGUUCGAAUCCCACCUUGCAUUA
rnacentral:tRNA from 1 species